GUGGGGAAUAUUGGGCAAUGGGGGAAACCCUGACCCAGCAACGCCGCGUGAAGGAAGAAGGUUUUCGGAUCGUAAACUUCUAUCCUUGGUGAAGAUAAUGACGGUAGCCAAGAAGGAAGCCCCGGCUAACUACGUGCCAGCAGCCGCGGUAAUACGUAGGGGGCAAGCGUUGUCCGGAAUGAGUGGGCGUAAAGGGCGCGUAGGCGGCCUGGUAAGUCUGGAGUGAAAGUCCUGCUUUUAAGGUGGGAAUUGCUUUGGAUACUGUCGGGCUUGAGUGCAGGAGAGGUAAGCGGAAUUCCCGGUGUAGCGGUGAAAUGCGUAGAGAUCGGGAGGAACACCAGUGGCGAAGGCGGCUUACUGGACUGUAACUGACGCUGAGGCGCGAAAGUGUGGGGAGCAAACAGGAUUAGAAACCCGGGUAGUCC
rnacentral:rRNA from 1 species